ACGAUGUCUAGCUUCUUCUUCUUUUUUUUUUUUUUUUUUUUUUUUUUUUUUUUCCCUAUAAAUUUGUGGUUAUUUCUGUGCGUUUGCUCUGCUACUUAGCUGAUUAUUGAGGUUAUUAGAUGAAUUGGAUGGGAUUUGAUUUUUUUCUCUUAUGUGCCAAUUAAUCUGUAGCUAAUUCAGGCUAUUUCUUGAAUAAACUUCAACACCUCGUUAGUCAUCAAAAGUUCAUAAAUAUUUAACAGUAAAAUGUUUUCUUGUUCUAUACCAUUUUAAUGUGUAAACCUUGUUUUCCUUGUCCUUUGUUUCCUCCUUUAUAAGAUAAACCUACAUUGUUAAUCAAUUUACCUUUUGCACUGCUAUUUGACAUAGAAAUUAAGACUACAAUUUUUUCCUGCUAUUUAGUUAGUUUUACUACAAUUUGGUGAGUGUUUUGUUGUUUUACAGGGCAGACCUUUUGUAGAAUCUAUAUAUAUAGAAAUUGAUAAUUACUUGAAAGCCUUUUUGCACUAUAUUAUGAAAGGAAUUUCUCCAUUACAGGCACAUUGGGCAUGCCAUUUUUUUUUUUUUAAUUUUUUUUUUACAUUUUGUGUUUCUUAUGUAUGAGGGUAGGAUGGAAACCAAAUUAAGAUCUUGUAUCUCCCUAUAAUAUGAUAGUUUACUUCACCAACAUCCAUUUGGAUGAUAACACUAGGUAUAGGACAGGACAACUUGGGUGGGUUUCCUAUUGUAACAUGGCACACUUCAAUCCGAUCUGAAUACCACCAAGAUAUUACCUUAUCUACUAUUAUUUAUCCUACCUUACCAAACAAAGAAGAAGACAGACAUUAUUAGUAGAUAGUCAUCUGAUCUCUUGUCCUAACUUUGGCAUAUUAAAUGAGCUCUAAGUUUGUAGAAUGGUUGGGGAAAUUUGUCCCAAUUGAAUCAAUGGAUUUCUUUUGCAAAUAUAUGUUUUCUGAAAAUUGAGUCAUUGGGGACAACAUUGCUUGGUGGCUCUCUUGUUUGUCAAAGAGACUAAUUGCAUUACACAAAUUGGCGCUUAGGGCUUUUAGAAGGCUCUGUUUACAGCUAGCAUAAUUUUGUUUCAGUACAACGUGAGGGACGACUUUAUGUAUCAUGGUCAUUGGACAAACUAGAGUGGAAGUCAUAAGGAGUUGGAAGUGUAUUUGUAAUGUUUUAUAUAUCAUCAAGCAGAAUUUUUAGGCCUAAUAAUUUUUAUCAUCCAUAAGACAAUUUUAUAUUUCUCAAACAGAGCUUUGUACUUCUACUGCAAUUAUCUAGAGUUUAUGAACUUUAGGUGUAUUGAUGGCUUCACCAUUUCAGGCUGGUCUUGCAGUAGUUAAGCUGCUAUUGCCCUUGCUGGUAGAUAUGGUAUUCAUGCUUGGCCAGAUUUUAAGGCAUGGCAAUUGAAAUCAAAAUUACACAGAUCUUAUGGUGGUUUCCAGGCUUCAAUAACAAAAUAGUAGUAUUAUGGUUGUAUAAAAUGGGUGGAAAACCAUAUUUCAUUUUCAUUUUUGUCUUAAGCUUUUAGCUUGGCCUUUUGGUUAAACCAUCUUAUUCUUCCUCUUAUUGAGUGCAAAUAUGAUGGUAUAUAAUUUAACAGGGAGAUGCUAUUCCAAAUAAGAUGGAAGGUUAUUUAUAAGUUAGCACAGACAUAGAUUGUGCUUGUAAACCAUCCUGACUCAGGUGGCUGGUCUUGUCUUUCUUCUAAAAUCGAUGAAGCUAAAAGUUUGAUGCUCAGGAAGAGAGGGCACUGGACCAGCAUUUUGAUACAAUUGAAAAUGCCUUACUUUCAGAGUUCAACCAAGGAUGCAAGUGCAACUCCAGAUGACAAAUGCCAGUGGAUUGGCUAUUUUGUUACAAUGAAAGUACCUCACUUUCAGGGCCUUGGCUUGUGCAUUUUCUCGUGAGGUACUGGCCUCUUUAUUCUAUAGCUAUGAUUGAAAAUCCCUCACUUUCAGGGCAUUGACUGAUCUAUUUGGCAACUAAAAUUUCAAAUGCAACUUUGAUGGAAAAUGUGACCAAUAAGGAAGCUGAUAUAUAAUUGAGUAAUAAGUACCUUAAGCGAAAGAAGGAAAAGCCAAGUUGAGAAACGUAUCAUAGCUCAUGCCUAAUGUAGCUAAAAUUAUGCUUUUUGAAGGACUUACAAUUAUGUAAGUAGGAAAAAAGUUUCUAAUAAUUUUUCCAGCUAUGUUUAAGACAGAACUUAGAAGUCUGGUCAGUAGUAGCUGGAAUAUACCCCUGACAAGUAGUAAAUUAGCAAACACAAAGUAGGUAUUUUCUAGUAGAGAUACCAACACAAUAUAUGGGCAAGGCAAUGCUAUGCCAAAGGAGCAAGACAAUCCCAUUUGUGAAAUUUUUCUUCUACACGUCAUACCUGAGAAUGCAUUAUUCUUAAUUUCUCUUUUUAAAUUCUUUAAAAUAGUUUUUUAAUAUUUAUAUUUAUAUUUAUUUAAUUUAGUUUUUAUAUAUAUUUGACACAUUAAGAUCUUAAAUAUUAUGAUACUUGUACGGUGUAACACAGGAUUUCAUAUCAGAUGCUUAUUUUAUUUUAUUUUA